GGUGUAGCUUAGUGGUAAAGUGCAUGCUUUGCAUUCAGAAGGUCAUAGGUUCAAUUCCCGAUAGAACUA